rnacentral:rRNA from 1 species
UAAGGGCGCACGGUGGAUGCCUUGGCACUAGAAGCCGAUGAAGGACGUUACUAACGACGAUAUGCUUUGGGGAGCUGUAAGUAAGCUUUGAUCCAGAGAUUUCCGAAUGGGGAAACCCAGCAUGAGUUAUGUCAUGUUAUCGAUAUGUGAAUACAUAGCAUAUCAGAAGGCACACCCGGAGAACUGAAACAUCUUAGUACCCGGAGGAAGAGAAAGAAAAUUCGAUUCCCUUAGUAGCGGCGAGCGAAACGGGAAGAGCCCAAACCAACAAGCUUGCUUGUUGGGGUUGUAGGACACUCUAUACGGAGUUACAAAGGACGACAUUAGACGAAUCAUCUGGAAAGAUGAAUCAAAGAAGGUAAUAAUCCUGUAGUCGAAAAUGUUGUCUCUCUUGAGUGGAUCCUGAGUACGACGGAGCACGUGAAAUUCCGUCGGAAUCUGGGAGGACCAUCUCCUAAGGCUAAAUACUCUCUAGUGACCGAUAGUGAACCAGUACCGUGAGGGAAAGGUGAAAAGCACCCCGGAAGGGGAGUGAAAUAGAACCUGAAACCGUGUGCUUACAAGUAGUCAGAGCCCGUUAAUGGGUGAUGGCGUGCCUUUUGUAGAAUGAACCGGCGAGUUACGAUUUGAUGCAAGGUUAAGCAGUAAAUGUGGAGCCGUAGCGAAAGCGAGUCUGAAUAGGGCGUUUAGUAUUUGGUCGUAGACCCGAAACCAGGUGAUCUACCCUUGGUCAGGUUGAAGUUCAGGUAACACUGAAUGGAGGACCGAACCGACUUACGUUGAAAAGUGAGCGGAUGAACUGAGGGUAGCGGAGAAAUUCCAAUCGAACCUGGAGAUAGCUGGUUCUCUCCGAAAUAGCUUUAGGGCUAGCCUCAAGUGAUGAUUAUUGGAGGUAGAGCACUGUUUGGACGAGGGGCCCCUCUCGGGUUACCGAAUUCAGACAAACUCCGAAUGCCAAUUAAUUUAACUUGGGAGUCAGAACAUGGGUGAUAAGGUCCGUGUUCGAAAGGGAAACAGCCCAGACCACCAGCUAAGGUCCCAAAAUAUAUGUUAAGUGGAAAAGGAUGUGGCGUUGCCCAGACAACUAGGAUGUUGGCUUAGAAGCAGCCAUCAUUUAAAGAGUGCGUAAUAGCUCACUAGUCGAGUGACACUGCGCCGAAAAUGUACCGGGGCUAAACAUAUUACCGAAGCUGUGGAUUGUCCUUUGGACAAUGGUAGGAGAGCGUUCUAAGGGCGUUGAAGCAUGAUCGUAAGGACAUGUGGAGCGCUUAGAAGUGAGAAUGCCGGUGUGAGUAGCGAAAGACGGGUGAGAAUCCCGUCCACCGAUUGACUAAGGUUUCCAGAGGAAGGCUCGUCCGCUCUGGGUUAGUCGGGUCCUAAGCUGAGGCCGACAGGCGUAGGCGAUGUAUAACAGGUUGAUAUUCCUGUACCACCUAUAAUCGUUUUAAUCGAUGGGGGGACGCAGUAGGAUAGGCGAAGCGUGCGAUUGGAUUGCACGUCUAAGCAGUAAGGCUGAGUAUUAGGCAAAUCCGGUACUC